GACGAACGCUGGCGGCGUGCUUAACACAUGCAAGUCGAACGGAAAGGCCCUGCUUUUGUGGGGUGCUCGAGUGGCGAACGGGUGAGUAGCACGUGAGUAACCUGCCCUUGACUUUGGGAUAACUUCAGGAAACUGGGGCUAAUACCGGAUAGGAGCUCCUGCUGCAUGGUGGGGGUUGGAAAGUUUCGGCGGUUGGGGAUGGACUCGCGGCUUAUCAGCUUGUUGGUGGGGUAGUGGCUUACCAAGGCUUUGACGGGUAGCCGGCCUGAGAGGGUGACCGGCCACAUUGGGACUGAGAUACGGCCCAGACUCCUACGGGAGGCAGCAGUGGGGAAUAUUGCACAAUGGGCGGAAGCCUGAUGCAGCAACGCCGCGUGCGGGAUGACGGCCUUCGGGUUGUAAACCGCUUUCGCCUGUGACGAAGCGUGAGUGACGGUAAUGGGUAAAGAAGUACCGGCUAACUACGUG
rnacentral:rRNA from 1 species